GCACACGUGCGCAGAUUAACCCCGGCAGCAGAAAAAGGUAAACUUCCUGGCAGGAUCGCAUGAAGAAAUCAAGAAGGAAGUAUCUGGAGGCCCCGGCGAGAAAACAUUGAUGUGUUGUCCCCUGUUUGCUGGCAGCAGAAAAGAAGUUUUGGGAAAGCUGUCAUGUAUUUAUGUAAGCAUCCACAGGAGACAAAGCCAAAUCGCGAACGUGCUGGCCGUCUAUGAUCAGAAUGGGCACGACCAAUUUUCAAUUUGAGCUGCGAUGUUAAGGCAAUGUUAAAGGAAGUACGACAAGAGCGCGAUUUAGCACAAAUGCCACGUCAGCAGAAAUCGCCAGAACCGCAGCCAACAACAUCCUCGAACACGAAGAAGGGUUUAAACUCUGCCUUUGCAAAUUCUGAAGAACAGCCACUACGUCCAGGCGAUCCUGGUUGCGUGGACCGUGCACGUGUACCCCUAAUGUCAAAUAAGGGCUACGUCGUAUGACCGAAAUCAACUGUCGAAGGAGAAAUUUUCUCGUCUACGAAGCGUGAACCAAAUCGUUUCGAAAAUAAUAUAAAAAAGUUUUUGGACGCUAAACGAAGGAAAUGCUGAAGGUAAGCCCUUUCGUAAUACAAUGAAAUAUAUCUGUGUAAUGUUGCUAAGUUGUAAUGUAACUCGUCGUAUGUAAUACUUAAGGUCACUAACUAAUGUACUCUAUUAUUAACGUAAAUAAAUUUCCAUGUUUAAUGUAAGUUAUUCUAUUCUACCAUAAAAUGAAAAAUGUAUUCCGAUUUGUUCUGUGUUGUUUGACAUGCAUAAUAAAAAUGUUAUUGUAAUACUACAAGUAACACAUACGCUGCGUA
rnacentral:misc_RNA from 1 species